UGGCGAUGAUUACAUUUUAUCCGCGCUUCUGAGAGCAAUCAAUGAAGCACAAAGCUGGUAAAAAAAGGUUGAAUUUCUUGAUAUGAGCCA